AGCCCAGCAGUUAUGGGCUGAUUGUAGAGAACAGCAGAGUCACAGAAGUGGAGCCAAUGCCUGUGGACUUUGUCCUGGCCCAGAGCUAAGCUGAGCAAAAGGACUUUGAAGAAGUAUGUGGGAGAUGCCAGUUUGGGGCCUAACCACUUACAGCUGGACUUCAAUAUCCCAGAAGGGCAAUAAACUUUUAAGUGACCUGGCUGGAGGAUUAGGUCAUGGAGGACCCAGACAGAGACAGGCCAUCACAGGACCAAUUAAGUGACUAAGGGGAAAGCUCAGCAACCUCACAUCUCAUCACAAGGAGGUGCCAGUUGGAGUAAUCCCAGCAUCCUUGCCCCACUCCAUCAGUAAGGAAUGGCAGACAGAAGGGGUUCAGGGGCACUUGCAACAUGAUACCCAGUUUUCAGUUACCAUAAAAUGGUGCCAGCUACAUUUAAAAAAAAAAAAAGGAAUUUGUCAUUCCUUCCCUUAAAAGCAAU